rnacentral:rRNA from 1 species
UACGAGUUUGAUCAUGGCUCAGAACGAACGCUGGCGGCAUGCCUAACACAUGCAAGUCGAACGAAGGCUUCGGCCUUAGUGGCGCACGGGUGCGUAACGCGUGGGAAUCUGCCCUUGGGUUCGGAAUAACUCAGAGAAAUUUGAGCUAAUACCGGAUGAUGACGUAAGUCCAAAGAUUUAUCGCCCAAGGAUGGGCCCGCGUAAGAUUAGCUAGUUGGUGGGGUAAAGGCCUACCAAGGCGACGAUCUUUAGCUGGUCUGAGAGGAUGAUCAGCCACACUGGGACUGAGACACGGCCCAGACUCCUACGGGAGGCAGCAGUGGGGAAUAUUGGACAAUGGGCGAAAGCCUGAUCCAGCAAUGCCGCGUGAGUGAUGAAGGCCUUAGGGUUGUAAAGCUCUUUUACCAGGGAUGAUAAUGACAGUACCUGGAGAAUAAGCUCCGGCCAACUCCGUG